rnacentral:rRNA from 1 species
GACGAACGCUGGCGGCGUGCCUAACACAUGCAAGUCGAGCGGAGGUAAUUAAAAGCUUGCUUUUGAUUAUCUUAGCGGCGGACGGGUGAGUAACGCGUGGGCAACCUGCCUUUCACAGGGGGAUAACACAGGGAAACUUGUGCUAAUACCGCAUAACACAUCGAGGUAGCAUUACCAUGAUGUCAAAGGAGCAAUCCGGUGAAAGAUGGGCCCGCGUCCAAUUAGCUAGUUGGUGGUGUAACGGACCACCAAGGCGACGAUUGGUAGCCGAACUGAGAGGUUGGUCGGCAACAUUGGGACUGAGACACGGCCCAGACGCCUACGGGAGGCAGCAGUGGGGAAGAUUGCACAAUGGGGGAAACCCUGAUGCAGCAACGCCGCGUGAAGGAUGAAGGUUUUCGGAUUGUAAACUUCUUUAGUCAGGGACGAAUAAAUGACGGUACCUGAAGAAUAAGCCACGGCUAACUACGUGCCAGCCGCCGCCGUAAAAC